AACGAACGCUGGCGGCAGGCUUAACACAUGCAAGUCGAGCGCCCCGCAAGGGGAGCGGCAGACGGGUGAGUAACGCGUGGGAAUCUACCCAUCUCUACGGAAUAACGCAUGGAAACGUGUGCUAAUACCGUAUACGUCCUUCGGGAGAAAGAUUUAUCGGAGAUGGAUGAGCCCGCGUUGGAUUAGCUAGUUGGUGGGGUAAAGGCCUACCAAGGCGACGAUCCAUAGCUGGUCUGAGAGGAUGAUCAGCCACACUGGGACGGAGACACGGCCCAGACUCCGACGGGAGGCAGCAGUGGGGAAUAUUGGACAAUGGGCGCAAGCCUGAUCCAGCCAUGCCGCGUGAGUGAUGAAGGCCCUAGGGUUGUAAAGCUCUUUCACCGGUGAAGAUAAUGACGGUAACCGGAGAAGAAGCCCCGGCUAACUUCGUGCCAGCAGCCGCCGUAAAAC
rnacentral:rRNA from 1 species